GAGUUUGAUCCUGGCUCAGAACGAACGCUGGCGGCAGGCCUAACACAUGCAAGUCGAACGAUCCUUCGGGAUAGUGGCAGACGGGUGAGUAACGCGUGGGAACAUACCCAGAGGUUCGGAAUAACACGGAGAAAUUCGUGCUAAUACCGGAUACGUCCUUCGGGAGAAAGAUUUAUCGCCUUUGGAUUGGCCCGCGUUGGAUUAACUUGUUGGUGGGGUAAAAGCCUACCAAGGCGACGAUCCAUAGCUGGUCUGAGAGGAUGAUCAGCCACACUGGGACUGAGACACGGCCCAGACUCCUACGGGAGGCAGCAGUGGGGAAUAUUGCACAAUGGGCGCAAGCCUGAUGCAGCCAUGCCGCGUGAGUGAAGAAGGCCCUAGGGUUGUAAAGCUCUUUCACCGGUGAAGAUAAUGACGGUAACCGGAGAAGAAGCCCCGGCUAACUUCGUGCCAGCAGCCGCGGUAAUACGAAGGGGGCUAGCGUUGUUCGGAAUCACUGGGCGUAAAGCGCGCGUAGGCGGACUGGUCAGUUGGGGGUGAAAUCCCGGGGCUCAACCUCGGAACUGCCUUCAAUACUGCCAGUCUAGAGUCCGGAAGA
rnacentral:rRNA from 1 species